rnacentral:lncRNA from 1 species
UCACUUCCAUUUACCAACUUUGUUUAUCUUGUAUCCAUAGCAGGUUAUCAAUAUUCUAAAAGCAUUACCAAACAAUCCCCCCAACCACAGCCCACCAAAUCUAGCACCCAUGCUUACUCUGCUUCUUUAAGAGAUACAUUCAGAUUCCAGCAUCCUCCAUAGACACUUAUCUUAUAUAAAAAGGUCUUUAAUAUUUGAGCCAAACUCCUCUUAAAGUUGCCAGAUAAACUUACCAUUAACUCCCUGUCCGGGGAAAAUCUGAAUGUUGAAUUCUUCAACUUUUUUUUUUUUAUUUGAGACCGAGUCUAGCUUCUGUUGCUCAGGCUGGAGUGCAGUGGCCCGAUCUUGGCUCACUGCAACCUCUGCCUCCCAGGUUCAAGCAAUUCUCCUGUCUCAGCCUCCCGAGUAGCUGGGAUUACAGGCACACACCACCAUGCCCAGCUAAGUUUUGUAUUUUUAGUAGAGGCGGGGUUUCACUAUGUUGGCCAGGCUGGUCUCGAACUCAGGUGAUCCACCUACCUUGGCCUCCCAAAGUGCUGGGAUUACAGGCGUGAGCCACUGCACCCAGCAAUUUUUUUUUUUUGAGGCACAGUUUCAUUCUGUCAUCCAGGCUAGAGUGCAGUGGCACGAUCUUGGCUCACUGCAACCUCCGCCUCCUGGCUUCAAGUGAUUCUCGUGCCUCAGCCUCCUGAGUAGCUGGGAUUACAGGUGCCCGCCACCAUGCCUGGCUAAUUUUUGUAUUUUCAGUAAAGACAGGGUUUCACCAUGUUGGCCAGGCUGGCCUUGAAUUCCUGACCUCAAGUGAUCCACCCGCCUCGGCCUCCCAAAGUGCUGGGAUUACAGGCGUCAGCCACUGCGCCCGGCCAAUUCUUCAAAAUUUAAUGUGAAUAUUACAUUCUCUGACGACUAUCUGUAUCCAUUUUUAUAAUAUAAUGGCUGAUUCUUUCAUAUCAUACAGCAUAUUCCAAGCAACCUUAAUGAAGACUAGCUGAUGUGUGGUCAGGAAAUGAAACUGAAUUUUAAUAUGGGCCAAAUAAAAAUAUAAUUAAGAAGAUUAAUCUGUCAAAGUUAAAGAAAAAUUGCCUGGUAUUUUCUUUUUUUUUUUCUCUUACUCCUCAGGGAUCCUUGUUCUGAUGCCUGGUAUUUUCUGAGGCUAAAUGUAAAGAAGGGUUAAUUAUCACCUGCUGUGCUGGCCUGGGGACUAACUGGGUCAUGCUGAGAUCCUACGGAAGCAGCAGAACUAUAGUUACCAAACAGCCUGAAAUGAGCCUGAGAACGCAUAGCAAGAGACAGGAGGAAAGCCAAGAGAACAUGCUAUCACAGAAGGCAAGUAAAGACAAAGCUUCAAGAAGGAGGGAGU